rnacentral:tmRNA from 1 species
GGGGGUGCAACGGGUUCGACCGUGUAGGAGAAGGAGAGUAAAAGCAUACCGUAGGGUCGGCUACGAUAAAACGACAAACUUAAACUUAAAUGCAGAUACUAACAAUUAUGCAUUCGCUGCUUAAUUAAAAGCGCGACGUCUCUCGUCGGAGUACCGUCGGUCGACGAAGAGGUGUAAUUUCAGGCGGUGACCGUUCAUAGAGAUAUCGUAUCGGCUUUAUGAAUGACAAAGAUGCGCGCGGCGCGUGUAGCCUGUCUUAACGGCGGUACGCGCAAGGGGAUAAAAGUAAGACUAAGUAUGUAGAAGACUUUCUGGAUCUUAUGCGACACAGGAGUUCGAUUCUCCUCACUUCCACCA